UCUAAACGGUCGAUGAAACGGAAACACCUAAAACUCAAAGCAGGCGCGUGCCUUGGAAAAAUAGUAAACGAUACCAGCAAGAGAAAUACGAUAAUUUGAAAAGAGAAAUUUUUAGAAUUUGUGACCAAGAAGAAAUGUGACUUAGUAAUAAAACUAAAUACAUUUGUAACCUGAAGUGCACAGCAUGAAGUGAAGCUGGAAAAGAAAAAGCAACAAGCGUUUGUUGUUGGAAACGGUUAUCAAAAAAAAACAAACAACAAGAAUAAAUCAAAAUGAAGCAAAAAACAAUAUUGAGUGUAACCCAAGAAAAUUUCCCAAAUCAGCGAAAGAAGCACGAAAAUCUACGUUGAAAUGGAACCAAAUAACAAUAAAAAAGUAGUAGUAAAAGUCUCAGUUAUCAUUUGCUGACCUUCAUUAGCUACUCUUCCAACUAAACAGAAAUAAGCAACACCAAUUAGGACAAUAUGACACGCGUUCGGCAAAUUGUGAUGAUCCGGUAAUGAGUUAUAAUGUACACCGCUACACCACACCAAGGCGCUUCUAGAGAGUCACCGCCACGGGCUUAUUUAUUAAUAUUAUUCAUUGAAAAUUUUGUCUAAUAUACUUCAAAAGUUGUACAAU